rnacentral:tRNA from 1 species
AGGGGUGUAGCUCCGUGUUAGAGCACUUGCCUAGCAGGCAUGAGGUCCUGGGUUCAAUCUCCAGUACUGCAA